UACGUAGGGUGCGAGCGUUAAUCGGAAUUACUGGGCGUAAAGCGUGCGCAGGCGGUUUGCUAAGACCGAUGUGAGAUCCCCGGGCUUAACCUGGGAACUGCAUUGGUGACUGGCAAGCUAGAGUGUGGCAGAGGGGGGUAGAAUUCCACGUGUAGCAGUGAAAUGCGUAGAGAUGUGGAGGAAUACCGAUGGCGAAGGCAGCCCCCUGGGCCAACACUGACGCUCAUGCACGAAAGCGUGGGGAGCAAACAGG
rnacentral:rRNA from 1 species